CCUUGGGUAGUGCAAAUGGUUAUCACACUCAGCUGCUAACUGGGAGGUUGAAGGUUCGAGUCUACCCAGAGGU
rnacentral:tRNA from 1 species